GGGUGGUCCGAUGGUAGUGGGUUAUCAGAACUUAACAUUAGUGUCACUAAAGUUGGUAUUCAACCCCCCACUGCUAAAUUUGACUGGCUUUUA
rnacentral:Y_RNA from 1 species